UCCAGUCGUCGGGUCAAUUUGGAACGCGUACGAAUUCGCGCGCGUCUUAUCAACGCCAUACAUUUUAAGAAGAGCAAACACAAAGCAGUUGUAAACCACAGUGAAGAUUAUUAAGUGUAAUAAAAAUCUAGUAAAUAUUUGCAAAGAAUUUCAUGUGAAAAAAAAAUUAUUUAAAUAAUUUGGCACAGUAAAAAUUUUGUGUGAAUGAAAAAAAAAAAAAAAUUGUGUAAAUUGUGAAAAUUGUUGGCAAAUCAGAAGGUGAAAAACGCGAAAAAUUCUGCUGCAACGUUUUCGAAAGAAAGCAACAGCAACAAAACAAAAAGCAGAGGAAAACAAGGAACAAGAAAGGCCAAACACAAAUCCAGCAAAACACAAUAACAAGACAAACCAAAAACAACAAAAAAAGUGCUCUAAAAGUCAAGCCGCGUCCUACGUCGCUACGUCGCUAGCUCCGCGUGUGCGUGCGUACGCCUGGCUUCCCCGCGCCGUCAACGACGCCGUCGGCAUCACCGCAAUCGUCGCGCUCGCCCGUAGUAUCCGUUUUCACGUACGCGUUUGCCGCUUCAGAGUCCGUGUUUUGUACAGCUUUGUGUACGUGCGUCCACGUGCGUGCGUGUGUGUGUGUGUUGCUGCGUAGACUAUUUGUUCCGGCACUGCCGCAGUUAUCCUCGUGCAAAGUGACGACGCGCGCUCACCAGUGAAGCUUUAGCCGCCAAUGCGCCGAUGAACAAAACGAAACUUUUCUAAAUAAUUGGAUUUUAAUGGCAACAUACACGUUUAUUGGAAAAGUGAAACUGAAAAAAGCAAAAAUAAAAUAAGAAAAAAUAAAAAAAAAACGUAUGUACGCACAUAUACACAUGCGCAUGUAUGUAUAUAAAUUAUGCACAAUUAUACAGCUGUAAAAAUGGGUAGGCAGUGCGUAAAAUGGAAGCCAAAUUGAGAGGAUAUGUUAAGAAAUGUAAAUAAAAUAUAAUUUGAAAAGAAAGUGUUGAGUGCAAAAGAAUUCAAGUGGUUUGAAAAUCGAGACUUUUGAGGUAAAAAAAAAAUGUUAUCAAAAAAUAAGUGUUUAAAAAUAAGUAACUAAAUAAAAAAAGUGUACGAAAUUAAUUACCCAUUGUAAAAAUAAGAAAACAAAUGGUAUAUCAAUAUCACUCCCCAUACAUACAUACAUACAUCUGUCCAUACAUGCGCAUAUAGGCAAUCAAUCUUUGCCAGCUUAAAGUUCCUGCAUCACUCAUACGCCCCAGCGCACCAACCUGCACACUUCCUGUUGUUCGUCUGCUUGUAACACGCAUACGUGCAUACAAACAUAUUAGAUAUACAUAUUUCCAUAGAGUAGCUAUGUGUAGCAGCAAGCGUUGAAAACCAAACGAGCCAACCAGCCGGGCAGCUAACCAACCCCGUAAGCUGACGCGGCAGUGAACCAAAGUUCUCGUUAACCUCACAGCUGCCUCACACUCAAUUGGCUGCUAGCGGCUACGGAUGCCACAUGCACUACCUCCUAUACUCACACACACACACACAUUGUUUGCAAUUAUAUAGAACAAUGUGCGUUUGCUGUUUAAGGCGUAAGUGAGGAGUGGAUAUGAAUUAAAAAGGAUGAACUUUUAGUGCUGAAAAAUAAAAGUGGCAAACAAAGAUCUUUUUAAAGACAAAAAUAAAGUGAAAAAUAAAGCAAAUAAAAGUAAAUGGAAAGAAAAUAAAGGAAUAAGUAAACAAAAGUGUGAGAAAGUGUAGGAGCAACAACAAAAUAAUUUCAAAAUUGAAACAAAAAAAUAUGAAAAUAAAAAUAAAAACCACAGCAACAACAUCCAAGUAUGCAACAAGCAUGCCCGCUACAAGUUUAGCAGCCUAAAAGUCUAUGCGUCAUAGAAACCAUUCUGUUCGAUUUAAAGUUCAUACAGCAACCAGCAAACAGCAGCUGCCUUCUUCGAGAAAAUCUAGAAGGAAAACCGAAAAACAAGCAAAAAAGUAAAGAGCAAAAAAAAUCGUUCCAUCCUUCACCAUUAUUUGCUGCUCUGGUAUAUAUAAAUAAAGGCUUAAGCAACAAUAAUACCAACAACAGCAACAACAACAACAGCGAAGGCCACCACAACAACAGCAAAAAAAAAAAAGAAAACAAAGAAAGUAAGCAACGAAAAAGUUUUUCAA